GACAAACAGAUCAAGUUAAGUAAAAUUGGUAUAAAAUAAGGUAAAAAUUGACUAAUAUAUUAAAAAGUUAUGUUUUUAUGGAGAGGUGGAAUUCGUACAUAAAAAUUUUUAUUAAUUAUUUUUUAUAAUUGAUGCCUUGAAAACUAAAAUAGAGACCGGGAUUAGAUACCCCGUUAUUUUUUUUAUAAAUUUUGAAAUUAAAGUAUUAAUUUACCUGAGUAUUACGGGUUAGAAAUUUUAGGUAGUAAUUGUUUAUUAUAAAAAGUUUCUUUGUUGCUUAAAACUCAAAAAACUUGGCGGUGCUUUAAUUCCUUCCAGGGGAACCUGUCCUGUAAUCGAUGAUCCACGAUUUAUCUUACUUUCUUUAGAGUUAUUAAUAAACUUCAGUUUGUAUACCGUCGUCGUCAGAUUACCUUUUAGAGAUAAGAAGUUGUCUAAAAAAUAAUAAGUUAAUAAGAUAAAAUUGAUAAUUUAAUUUUUGAUGUCAGAUCAAGGUGCAGCUUAUAAGAAAGUAGAGAUGGGUUACAAUAUAAAUUUUAUAAUAUGGAUAUUAAUUUGUAAUAAUUUAGUGAAAGUGGACUUGGGAGUAAUGUAGUAAAAUAAAUUAGAAUGUUUUCGUGAAUAAAGGUACUAAAGCGUGC
rnacentral:rRNA from 1 species